rnacentral:rRNA from 1 species
GGGGAUGCGUCUGAUUAGCUUGUUGGCGGGGUAACGGCCCACCAAGGCGACGAUCAGUAGGGGUUCUGAGAGGAAGGUCCCCCACAUUGGAACUGAGACACGGUCCAAACUCCUACGGGAGGCAGCAGUGAGGAAUAUUGGUCAAUGGGCGAGAGCCUGAACCAGCCAAGUAGCGUGCAGGAUGACGGCCCUAUGGGUUGUAAACUGCUUUUAUAGGGGAAUAAAGUGAGCCACGUGUGGUUUUUUGCAUGUACCCUAUGAAUAAGGACCGGCUAAUUCCGUGCCAGCAGCCGCGGUAAUACGGAAGGUCCGGGCGUUAUCCGGAUUUAUUGGGUUUAAAGGGAGCGUAGGCCGGAGAUUAAGCGUGUUGUGAAAUGUAGAUGCUCAACAUCUGAACUGCAGCGCGAACUGGUUUCCUUGAGUACGCAUAAAGUGGGCGGAAUUCGUGGUGUAGCGGUGAAAUGCUUAGAUAUCACGAAGAACUCCGAUUGCGAAGGCAGCUCACUGGGGCGCAACUGACGCUGAAGCUCGAAAGCGCGGGUACCGAACAGGAUUAGAUACCCUGGUAGUCCGCGCGGUAAACGAUGGAUGCCCGCUGUUGGGCCAACUGGUUCAGCGGCCAAGCGAAAGCAUUAAGCAUCCCACCUGGGGAGU